GACAGAGGAUGCAAGCGUUAUCCGGAAUGAUUGGGCGUAAAGCGUCUGUAGGUGGCUUUUUAAGUCUGCCGUCAAAUCCCAGGGCUUAACCCUGGACAGGCGGUGGAAACUACCAAGCUGGAGUACGGUAGGGGCAGAGGGAAUUUCCGGUGGAGCGGUGAAAUGCGUAGAGAUCCGGAAGAACACCGGUGGCGAAGGCGGCCUGCUGGGCAGUUGCUGACACUGAGGCGCGACAGCGUGGGGAGCAAACAGG
rnacentral:rRNA from 1 species